GACGAACGCUGGCGGCGUGCUUAACACAUGCAAGUCGAACGAUGAACCCGGAGCUUGCUCCGGCGGAUUAGUGGCGAACGGGUGAGUAACACGUGAGUAACCUGCCCUUGACUCUGGGAUAACUGCGGGAAACUGUAGCUAAUACCGGAUACGACCCUCGGCGGCAUCGCCAGGGGGUGGAAAGAAUUUCGGUCAAGGAUGGACUCGCGGCCUAUCAGCUAGUUGGUGAGGUAACGGCUCACCAAGGCGACGACGGGUAGCCGGCCUGAGAGGGUGACCGGCCACACUGGGACUGAGACACGGCCCAGACUCCUACGGGAGGCAGCAGUGGGGAAUAUUGCACAAUGGGCGCAAGCCUGAUGCAGCAACGCCGCGUGAGGGAUGACGGCCUUCGGGUUGUAAAGCUCUUUUGUCAGGGAAGAAACAGCAGCUCUAACACAGUUUGCGAAUGACGGUACCUGAAGAAUAAGCACCGGCUAAC
rnacentral:rRNA from 1 species